rnacentral:rRNA from 1 species
AAUGAACGCUGGCGGCGCGCCUAAUACAUGCAAGUCGAGCGAGAAGACGUAGCAAUACGUUUGUAAAGCGGCGAACGGGUGAGGAAUACAUGGGUAACCUACCCUCGAGUGGGGAAUAACUAGCCGAAAGGUUAGCUAAUACCGCGUACGCUUCUUGGACUUCGGUUCAGGGAGGAAAGCGAUACCGUGGGUAUCGCGCUCUUGGAUGGGCUCAUGUCCUAUCAGCUUGUUGGUGAGGUAACGGCUCACCAAGGCUUCGACGGGUAGCUGGUCUGAGAGGACGA